CAUUUAUAUAUUUGAACAAAUGUACAAAAGAUCACACGAGACAAUGUAUAAAUUCGCAAUCGAACGCACGUUAUUAUACAUAUGCGACAAUCGAUCUAUAAAAACAACAGCCUGCGAAAUUGCUUUGAUACGCUUAAAAAAGUAAACAGGUGUCCUUCGCGGUAUCGUCGGUGUCGCAACAGUCUUCCUCACCGUCUUGCGCCGCCUGCCCUUGCUGCAGAGCGCGGCGCUUUUGCAAACGCGCGCACCGCGGGCAGCAAUGAUUGCGUUUAGACCAGCAAACACGAUGGUGCACUGCCGAGCAUUGCUGGCAAAUAAUCGAGCUAGCAUCCCACGGAUAAAUAACCUCGUCGUUGCCGCAUAUCUCGCAUAGGUGUCCCCUGAAAAUUUUAAUAUUGAUCUCAAUCGAGUCGCAUCGUAAAAUGGAGGGAACGCAUCUUUCUCCAAGCCCAAACGCUCACCUGGCUCUGCACAGCUCGCAUUGCUCCGUGAUAUGUGAGUGCAUCGUGUCAUAGGCGGUGCGGAGUUCGUCUAGGAGAACGCCGGUCUGUAGGUCGAUGAGGUCCUUGAUCGAAUAGUUACCCGAAUUCUCAAUCAUGUGCGUGCGCAAGCAAAUCCUCCACGGUAAACCUUGGGUACAGGCUUCCUCGCACAACACCAAGUAUCUUUUCAUCAUCUGCAUCUCUUCUCGCAUUCGCUAAGGAACUAAGUCACUCACCUUGACCAGCGACAAAUCUGGGACCAAAGUGAACAGCUUUGGGUUCAGUUCCUCCAGAGGCAGUACAGAACGGUCCUCUAACAGCAUCAGAAGCUGCGCCGCAGCGCGAGACACCAGACGUGGUUCCAUGUCCCAGUUCCGGAUUACUCUGGCGGGUAUCACCAUAGCUGUAUUCCAGUGGCAUCUUUGACAGUAAUACAGGCCACUGUAGUCGCAUAGACGCGGUUCCACCCACGUUGACUCUAAAAACGUUAUUUCUUAUCAACAUAUUAUUAUUAUAUCUCAACGGAGAUACGUACAACCGUGAAGAAUGUAAUCUGUCUGUAAUUAUAAGUCCUUGUAGCUCCGCAUUCGUGAAAUCUUUUCGCGGAAAAAGAGCUACUUCGAGUCUCCUUCAUACAAUUGCGCGUGAUAAGUAUCUGUGUAUGAUAAACAAAAGCGGAACUACAAGGUGUGGAUCAUGCAAAUACGAUCUAUCAUGUCUGAUAUUGAUAAUGUCAUCGAUGCAUUGAUAUCGUAGGUCGAAUACCUGUAUUCUUAAAGGAACUGCCGAAGCAAGAUAGCGAUAAUCCUUUUGAGAAAGCUUGCAAGAGGACAAGAAUACUAUUAUCUCAUUAAGGCAAUUGCGCUACUUACGUACUAAUAAACGGAAUAACGAGCUUCCAUGAACACAUAA